GACUUAGGAUUUGAGCAUCUUUCUGUUAUGCUGUUGCCCCACUCCUAUUGCAAUACUCCCCUUCUUAAGAAAGUUUUUCUAGACUAAUGUCUAGAUUAAACUUCUUUUCUUUGACAAUAAUGAUGCCAUGACUUGGACAAAAUGCCCAUUGCCUCUGGGUCCUGCUUUCUUCACCCAGUGCUGCCUUAUUGGACUCCUUGUGCCUCUCCUUGGCUGGGGAAAUCAGAAUACACAGUGAGCUUCAACUGAGAAUCUAGAAGAGAGUAGAUGGAAAAAUAUUUUUCCCUCCCCUCCAAAUGCAAGGAUAAUCUUACACGAGUCCAGGAGGAAGGCUCAUUCCACACUAAGUGUUCUGAAUCAAAAAGAUGAACAAAAUACAGUGCCAUUCUUCAAGGACUUCACAGUCUACAGGAAAGGGAUAUAGUUAAACAAAUAACUGCAGAAUUGGAAAUUGGAGCUGAUGUGCUUAGAAGUGUUUUGAACAAGGGGCAUGACUGUGACUCUCUCUGCUUUUGCAAGCUUCAGGAAAACCUUUACUCACAGGUGAGUUCCACCUGAGGUUAAUUUGAAG
rnacentral:lncRNA from 10 species